ACCUGGCUGGCUCAGUCAGUAGAGCAUGUAACUCUUGAUCUCAAGGUUGUGAGUUCGAGCCACAUGUUGGGUA
rnacentral:tRNA from 1 species